GGAUGUGCUCGCGGCCUAUCAGCUUGAUGGUGAGGUAAUGGCUCACCAUGGCUUCGACGGGUAGCCGGCCUGAGAGGGUGACCGGUCACACUGGGACUGAGACACGGCCGAGACUCCUACGGGAGGCAGCAGUGGGGAAUAUUGGACAAUGGGCGGUAGCCUGAUCCAGCAACGCCGCGUGAGGGAUGACGGCCUUCGGGUUGUAAACCUCUUUCGGUAGGGACGAAGCGCAAGUGACGGUACCUACUAAAGAAGCACCGGCCAACUACGUGCCAGCAGCCGCGG
rnacentral:rRNA from 1 species